rnacentral:lncRNA from 1 species
UUUAUUCAAAAUAAUAGAUUCUCAUAUAUUCCAAAAUCAAGUGAUAACUCUCCUUGGCAACAUUAUGCUGAAUCAUCUUAUGCUUUACAUUCCAAUCUACCAACUUAAAAUAUAAUUACCAUUACUAUGAGAAACAAGGAUACAAAUCUCUAAAAUAUCAUUAGAAACAAAGAAAUUGAUGAACAAAUCAAAACCUGUAAGAUCCUAUGUUAUUGAAGUACUAUUAUAUUUAUUUACAGUAAUAUCUAUUAAUAUUCUUAAUGAAUUGUGAUAUUUAGAUUUGAAUCAAGAAUCACAUGUCUCUUUUGAGAGACCUUUUCAAUAAUUAUACUCUACUCACUACACUAAAACUUAUUUUAUUAGAAGAUAAUAAUUCUCAUAUUGCUCAAGGUAUUGGAUCUAUCAUUUUGUAACUCAAAUUUGGUCAAUACAUAUAAAUUUUUGAUAUCUUAUAUGUUCUAGGAUUAAAAAAGAAUCUUCUAUCAAUGGCUCAAAUUACUAAAAUUGAAUACACAAAAAUUAAUUUUAUCAACAAUACUUGUGUUAUCAGUACUAAAUCACCCUAGACAAGUGAGGUUCAUUAUUUCUUAAUUUCUAAACAAGAUAAUAUAUAUUCUUUUAAUAAAGAAGUUUUACAUCAUCUUCUUUACUUCAUAUGCAUGAUACUAACCAUCGAUACUUAAUAACCACCUCACUAAGGUCUCACAUCUAUCUUCUUUGUGGUGAUUUUGUGCCUUGCUUAGUUAUGGAUAACUCACAUUCUUGCAUUAUAACAAUGACUUUGGAGUUUGUUGCAAAUCAUCAAUGCCUCAUA